rnacentral:rRNA from 1 species
AACGAACGCUGGCGGCGUGCCUAAUACAUGCAAGUAGAACGCAGUUGCGAACGGAAUAGUAACGAGUAGGUAACUGCCUGGUAGCGGGGGAUAACUAUUGGACACAAUAGCUAAUACCGCAUACAGCCAGAUGUACCUGCGUUGUAUUAGCUAGUUUGUGAGGUAACGGCUUAACAAGGCAACGAUACAUAGCCUAUCUGAGGGGGGGAACGGCCAACCCUGGAAUGAGACACGGCCCAGCACCCUGCGGGAGGAAGCAGGAGGGAAUUUUCGGCAAUGGGGGGAACCCUGACCGAGCAACGCCGCGGGAGUGAAGAAGGUUUGCGGAUCGUAAAGCUCUGUUGUUAAGGAAGCGUUACUUAACCAGAAAGGGACGGCUAACUACGUGCCAGCAGCCGCGGUAAUAC